rnacentral:rRNA from 1 species
UUUGCCUUAUAAUUUGAGGCUAGAAUGAAUGGUUUGACGAAGGUUGAUCUGUCUCUACUCUAUUUUUUAGAAAUUAAUUUUUAAAGUGAAAAAGCUUGGAUUUUUUAAAGGGACGAGAAGACCCUAAUGAGCUUAUAAUUUUAUCUUUAUUUCUAAUAUUAGUGAAUAAAGUAUAAAUUUUAAUUGGGGUGAUUAAGGAAUAAGUAUAAUAACUUCCUUAUAUUUAAUAUUGUUAGAUAAAGUAACCAAUAUAUUAUUGCUUAUAAUAUAGUUACCAUAGGGAUAACAGCGUAAUUUGUUUAGAGAGUUCUUAUUGAAAAACAAGAUUGCGACCUCGAUGUUGGAUUAAAGUAACCUUAAGGUGCAGAAGCUU